GAGGGUAUAGCUCAGUAGUAGAGCACGUGCUUAGCACGCAUGAGGUCCUGGGUUCCAUCCCCAGUACCUCCA
rnacentral:tRNA from 1 species